GACGAACGCUGGCGGCGUGCUUAACACAUGCAAGUCGAACGGAAAGGCCCUGCUUUUGUGGGGUGCUCGAGUGGCGAACGGGUGAGUAACACGUGAGUAACCUGCCCUUGACUUUGGGAUAACUUCAGGAAACUGGGGCUAAUACCGGAUAGGAGCUCCUGCUGCAUGGUGGGGGUUGGAAAGUUUCGGCGGUUGGGGUUGGACUCGCGGCUUAUCAGCUUGUUGGUGGGGUAGUGGCUUACCAAGGCUUUGACGGGUAGCCGGCCUGAGAGGGUGACCGGCCACAUUGGGACUGAGAUACGGCCCAGACUCCUACGGGAGGCAGCAGUGGGGAAUAUUGCACAAUGGGCGGAAGCCUGAUGCAGCAACGCCGCGUGCGGGAUGACGGCCCUCGGGUUGUAAACCGCUUUCGCCUGUGACGAAGCGUGAGUGACGGUAAUGGGUAAAGAAGCACCGGCUAACUACGUG
rnacentral:rRNA from 1 species